rnacentral:rRNA from 1 species
GGGUUGUGAGGUUAAGCGACUAAGCGUACACGGUGGAUGCCCUGGCAGUCAGAGGCGAUGAAGGACGUGCUAAUCUGCGAAAAGCGCCGGCGAGGUGAUAUGAACCUUUGACCCGGCGAUAUCCGAAUGGGGAAACCCAGU